CAGAGUUGCAAAACUCCCAACCCUUUGUGAACGUUACCAAACUGUUGCCUCGGCGGGAUCUCUGCCCCGGGUGCGUCGCAGCCCCGGACCAAGGCGCCCGCCGGAGGACCAACCAAAACUCUUAUUGUAUACCCCCUCGCGGGUUUUUUUAUAAUCUGAGCCUUCUCGGCGCCUCUCGUAGGCGUUUCGAAAAUGAAUCA
rnacentral:misc_RNA from 1 species